rnacentral:tRNA from 1 species
UAGCCUAGUGGUUAAGGCAAUGGAUCGCCAAUCCGGAGAUGGCGGGUUCAGUUCCCGU